GAUGAACGCUGGCGGCGUGCCUAAUACAUGCAAGUCGAGCGAAGCGGGGAAGGGUGAGUAACACGUGGAAAACCUCCUAUACGACUGGGAUAACUUCGGGAAACCGGAGCUAAACGGGAUACUUAUAGCUGGAUCAGCGCUGCAUGAGCUAGUGGGUAAGGUAACGGCUUACCAAGGCAACGAUGCAUAGCCGACCUGAGAGGAUGAACGGCCACACUGGAACUGAGACACGGUCCAGACUACGACGGGAGGCAGCAGUAGGGAAGCGUCCGCAAUGGGCGAAAGCCUGACGGAGCAAAGCCGCGUGAGUGAAGAAGGUCUUCGGAUCGUAAAACUCUGUUAUUAGGGAAGCGGUACCUAAUCAGAAAGCCACGGCUAACUACGGGCCAGCAGCCGCGGUAAUAC
rnacentral:rRNA from 1 species